GGGGGCGUAGCUCAGUUGGAUAGAGCAACGGUUUUCUAAACCGUAGGUCACAGGUUCGAGCCCUGUCGCCCCUGCCA
rnacentral:tRNA from 2 species